rnacentral:rRNA from 1 species
CAGGGAUUGCCUUAGUAACUGCGAGUGAAGCGGCAAAAGCUCAAAUUUGAAAUCUGGCGUCUUCGGCGUCCGAGUUGUAAUUUGGAGAGGCAUCUUCGGAAACGGCGCCAUCCUAAGUUCCUUGGAACAGGAUGUCAUAGAGGGUGAGAAUCCCGUGCUUGGAUGGAUGUCCGUUUUCAUGUGAAGUGUCUUCGACGAGUCGAGUUGUUUGGGAAUGCAGCUCAAAAUGGGUGGUAAAUUUCAUCUAAAGCUAAAUAUUGGCGAGAGACCGAUAGCGCACAAGUAGAGUGAUCGAAAGAUGAAAAGCACUUUGAAAAGAGAGUUAAAAAGUACGUGAAAUUGUUGAAAGGGAAGCGCUUGAGACCAGACUCAAUCUUUGGUGAUCAACUGUGCUUCUGUACAGUGCACUUGCCAUUGAUUGGGCCAGCAUCGGUUCUGGCGGUAGGAUAAAAGGUAGAGGAAUGUGGCUCUCUUCGGGGAGUGUUAUAGCCUCUGUCACAAUGCUACCAGCUGGGACCGAGGACCGCGCUUCGGCUAGGAUGCUGGCGUAAUGGUCUUAAGCGACCCGUCUUGAAACACGGACCAAGGAGUCUAACAUCUAUGCGAGUGUUCGGGUGGAAAACCCUUGCGCGUAAUGAAAGUGAACGGAGGUGAGAACCCGCAAGGGUGCAUCAUCGACCGAUCCUGAUGUCUUCGGAAGGAUUUGAGUAAGAGCAUAGCUGUUGGGACCCGAAAGAUGGUGAACUAUGCCUGAAUAGGGUGAAGCCAGAGGAAACUCUGGUGGAGGCUCGCAGCGGUUCUGACGUGCAAAUCGAUCGUCAAAUUUGGGUAUAGGGGCGAAAGACUAAU